rnacentral:rRNA from 1 species
GACGAACGCUGGCGGCGUGCUUAACACAUACAAGUCGAACAGAAAGGCCCUGCUUUUGUGGGGUGCUCGAGUGGCGAACGGGUGAGUAACACGUGAGUAACCUGCCCUUGACUUUGGGAUAACUUCAGGAAACUGGGGCUAAUACCGGAUAGGAGCUCCUGCUGCAUGGUGGGGGUUGGAAAGUUUCGGCGGUUGGGGAUGGACUCGCGGCUUAUCAGCUUGUUGGUGGGGUAGUGGCUUACCAAGGCUUUGACGGGUAGCCGGCCUGAGAGGGUGACCGGCCACAUUGGGACUGAGAUACGGCCCAGACUCCUACGGGAGGCAGCAGUGGGGAAUAUUGCACAAUGGGCGGAAGCCUGAUGCAGCAACGCCGCGUGCGGGAUGACGGCCUUCGGGUUGUAAACCGCUUUCGCCUGUGACGAAGCGUGAGUGACGGUAAUGGGUAAAGAAGCACCGGCUAACUACGUG